rnacentral:lncRNA from 1 species
UUUUGGUGGCUUUAAAUCAGUCGAGAAACUAUGACCAACCAAUUAACUUUCGAAAGGUCUAAUGGAAUUAAACUAGGGAUGAUCGAUGUGAUUGAGACUAAUUUCUCAAUGUGGAAUGUGACAAAAAGAUCUGUCUCCAGAAACCUCCCCCAACUAACAUGCUUAUUAGCCUUUCUUAGGCAUACGGAAUUUAUACAUAAAAAACUUACUAGUACGUGCGCAUGUAGAGGAACCUUCAAUUGUGCCAACUAUCCAAGACUAUGAUAUCUCCG